rnacentral:rRNA from 1 species
CUACGGGCGGCUGCAGUGGGGAAUUUUGGACAAUGGGCGCAAGCCUGAUCCAGCAAUGCCGCGUGAGUGAAGAAGGCCUUCGGGUUGUAAAGCUCUUUUGUCAGGGAAGAAACGGUAGAGGCUAAUAUCCUUUGCUAAUGACGGUACCUGAAGAAUAAGCACCGGCUAACUACGUGCCAGCAGCCGCGGUAAUACGUAGGGGUGCAAGCGUUAAUCGGAAUUACUGGGCGUAAAGCGUGCGCAGGCGGUUUUGUAAGUCUGACGUGAAAUCCCCGGGCUCAACCUGGGAAUUGCGUUGGAGACUGCAAGGCUAGAAUCUGGCAGAGGGGGGUAGAAUUCCACGUGUAGCAGUGAAAUGCGUAGAGAUGUGGAGGAACACCGAUGGCGAAGGCAGCCCCCUGGGUCAAGAUUGACGCUCAUGCACGAAAGCGUGGGGAGCAAACAGGAUUAGAUACCCCCGUAGUC